UUGCCAUUGAUUUAUCAGAAUCAUAGUUCUGCUAUGGAUACAUAUUCUCAUUUUAAAUUGUCUUAUUUAAGGGAGUAACCCUCUCAGAGCUCAUGGAGGCUAAGAAGACCUUCAGUACAUCAAAACUGGAAAUUCAACCAGGUGAAGUGUGCAGAUCUACAGAGAGACUGUGUGUUCAGAGAGUUCAUGAGGACACCACAGACUCCAGUCCAUCUCUGAAAACACUAGAACAACAUUCUGAGGAUCAUCUUGAUGAGCAAGGAAACUGGAAAAGAAGAUCUGGACCCAAUCCUGAAAGGUCUUCCUUUUGCAUGUCUUCAGUAAAAGGAGCUUGUGGAUUCACUCCUAGUCUGAAGAAUCACAGGAGCUUAAAAGGUCCUAUAAACACCUCCUUAUCUGAGUGUGUAAUAUUUUAUAAACAUCAUCAUCAUCAUCAUCAUCAUCAUAGUAAUAUAUUGUGUCUUUGUCUGUUCAGAGUCUGAAUGGAUGGAUGAAAAUGACAACAUUCUUUAUGGUUGCUCUGGUGCAUCUCUGGCACAGAAACUCAUUGAAGACAGUGACCUGCCUGGCCUACUCACUGAGGUAACAUUAGCAAAUGUGUUUGAGUCUCAGGCAUAUGGCAUAUGCGUAUGGGUUGUUGACAUGAUUUUGGAUUUUCACUGUCACACAAAACAAAA
rnacentral:lncRNA from 1 species